rnacentral:lncRNA from 1 species
CGUACUGCGGUCCUGCAUAAUAAAAGAGUCAUCAAUAAAAUAUAUUCCGCAAUGGAGGGCACGAGUCAAACAACUCACAGAUGCAAGAUUAAAAGGACAUCCAGGGACAUAAAGAACGGAAUCUAGAGUGACAGAGGUAGAGGAUUUGCUCGUCCAACUCCUUUUGCUUUAGUUUGAGACCCAUUAGCUAAAGUAACGUUGGGAAGAAACUGUGAAUACGCAAUAUUUGACAAAAGGGAUUUAUUACCAGNNN